UACGUAGGGUGCAAGCGUUGUCCGGAAUUAUUGGGCGUAAAGAGCUCGUAGGCGGUCUGUCGCGUCUGCUGUGAAAACCUAGGGCUUAACUCUGGGGCGUGCAGUGGGUACGGGCAGACUAGAGUGAUGUAGGGGGAGACUGGAAUUCCUGGUGUAGCGGUGAAAUGCGCAGAUAUCAGGAGGAACACCGAUGCGAAGGCAGGUCUCUGGGCAUUAACUGACGCUGAGGAGCGAAAAGCGUGGGGGGAGCGAAACAGG
rnacentral:rRNA from 1 species